rnacentral:rRNA from 1 species
UACGGGGGGGGCAAGCGAUGUUCGGAAUUACUGGGCGUAAAGGGCGCGUAGGCGGGUGGACAAGUCUCUCGUGAAAGCCCACGGCUCAACCGUGGAAUUGCGGGAGAUACUGUCUGUCUUGAGUCCGGGAGAGGAGGGUGGAAUUCCCAGUGUAGCGGUGAAAUGCGUAGAUAUUGGGAGGAACAACGGUGGCGAAGGCGGCUCUCUGGACCGGUACUGACGCUGAGGCGCGAAAGCUAGGGGAGCAAACAGG